GGGUUAAGUCCCGUAACGAGCGCAACCUUGUCCUUAGUUACCAGCACGUUAUGGUGGGCACUCUAAGGAGACUGCCGGUGACAAACCGGAGGAAGGUGGGGAUGACGUCAAGUCAUCAUGGCCUUACGGCCUGGGCUACACACGUGCUACAAUGGUCGGUACAAAGGGUUGCCAAGCCGCGAGGUGGAGCUAAUCCCAUAAAACCGAUCGUAGUCCGGAUCGCAGUCUGCAACUCGACUGCGUGAAGUCGGAAUCGCUAGUAAUCGUGAAUCAGAAUGUCACGGUGAAUACGUUCCCGGGCCUU
rnacentral:rRNA from 1 species